GAGGAGGAGGUGCUGUCCUGGAGCCAGCGACGGCGGCUGCAGCUUGACGAUGCCGGCGUCAACAGCUUGCUUCAGGGGCUGCAGGCCGUGAACGGCGUUGUGCUUGCGCGCGAGACCCGUGUCUGAUUUGGAAAGAAUCAAUCCGGUGAAGAAGAAGGCCAAUGCAACUGCUCUCUAGCUAGGCACUGGAGUAUCUGCACCCCCAAUGGAACGCUACGAAUUGCUGCUGGUACUGAACAUGGGGACGGCGCAUGGCACUACAAAGCACUACAAAGCAGUGCCACAUGGGUUCCGGCGCAUGGGGACGGCAAGAUCUGCAUCGUCCACAUCAUCGACACGCAGUUUGUUAGCUUGGAUGGAUUUGUGGCCUCGCCUCAUCAGGUCCGGGAGGACAAAAGUGCUUGGCGAGUAGAUACAUGCAGCACGGGACCAAGAGAAAAAAAAUUAAACUGAACGCUCAAGGGUCGUCAAAUUCAGCUUUAGAACAAAAGUCGCGGGAUAAGCUCUUUCAGUCUAUGGAUGGACAGCUGAAUGCGCAAGAUAGAUGAUGUUCGGAAUUUGGAUCAUGAGCUUCCAACAAUGACCGUGCGAGAUGCUGGACAUGGCGUACAAGGCCGAUGUUGAUGGUGGCACAUAUACUCAUCAGCUGCCUACUACACGUCAGGGAGGAGGAAGCUAGGGAACCCAUAUUUGAAACACGAGAGCAAGGAAAGGAUUAAUGGUUACUGAUGAAACCAUUAAUCAAUAGUUGUGAUGAUUAGUUGUUCCUGAAUCACAAUUAAUCCUUGUAUAACUCCAUGUGUUGGUGUUUUGAGUGGGUGACCUGUGACCUAUUCUAUCCAAAAGAAUAAUGGUGUGCAGUUUCAGUCGUGAGUGGAGGCGAUAUGGCCACGGACUAUAUUUAUCCUAUCAAACCGUCGGUAACUGAAAACUAA